CCUACGGGAGGCAGCAGUAGGGAAUCUUCCGCAAUGGACGAAAGUCUGACGGAGCAACGCCGCGUGAACGAUGAAGGCCUUCGGGUCGUAAAGUUCUGUUGUUAGGGAAGAACAAGUGCUAGUUGAAUAAGCUGGCACCUUGACGGUACCUAACCAGAAAGCCACGGCUAACUACGUGCCAGCAGCCGCGGUAAUACGUAGGUGGCAAGCGUUGUCCGGAAUUAUUGGGCGUAAAGCGCGCGCAGGCGGUUUCUUAAGUCUGAUGUGAAAGCCCCCGGCUCAACCGGGGAGGGUCAUUGGAAACUGGGAAACUUGAGUGCAGAAGAGGAAAGUGGAAUUCCAAGUGUAGCGGUGAAAUGCGUAGAGAUUUGGAGGAACACCAGUGGCGAAGGCGACUUUCUGGUCUGUAACUGACGCUGAGGCGCGAAAGCGUGGGGAGCAAACAGGAUUAGAUACCCUGGUAGUCCACGCUGUAAACGAUGAGUGCUAAGUGUUAGAGGGUUUCCGCCCUUUAGUGCUGAAGUUAACGCAUUAAGCACUCCGCCUGGGGAUACGGUCGCAGACUGAAACUNAAAGGAUUGACGGCUUGAGAGNGCGAGGACGACGACGAGGAGAGG
rnacentral:rRNA from 1 species